UACGUAGGGUGCGAGCGUUGCCCGGAUUUAUUGGGCGUAAAGGGCGCGUAGGCGGCCACGCACGUCCGUUGUGAAAUCGCCCGGCUCAACUGGGCGGGGUCGGCGGAUACGGCGUGGCUGGAGCAAGCUAGGGGGCAAUGGAAUUCCCGGUGUAGUGGUGGAAUGCGUAGAGAUCCGGAGGAACACCAGCGGCGAAGGCGGCAUCCUGGACUGGUACUGACGCUCAGGAGCGAAAGCGUGGGGAGCGAGUCCGG
rnacentral:rRNA from 1 species